UGGGGAAUUUUGGACAAUGGGCGAAAGCCUGAUCCAGCAAUGCCGCGUGUGUGAAGAAGGCCUUCGGGUUGUAAAGCACUUUUGUCCGGAAAGAAAUCCUUGGCUCUAAUACAGUCGGGGGAUGACGGUACCGGAAGAAUAAGCACCGGCUAACUACGUGCCAGCAGCCGCGGUAAUACGUAGGGUGCAAGCGUUAAUCGGAAUUACUGGGCGUAAAGCGUGCGCAGGCGGUUUGCUAAGACCGAUGUGAAAUCCCCGGGCUCAACCUGGGAACUGCAUCGGUGACUGGCAGGCUAGAGUAUGGCAGAGGGGGGUAGAAUUCCACGUGUAGCAGUGAAAUGCGUAGAGAUGUGGAGGAAUACCGAUGGCGAAGGCAGCCCCCUGGGCCAAUACUGACGCUCAUGCACGAAAGCGUGGGGAGCAAACAGGAUUAGAUACCCUGGUAGUCCACGCCCUAAACGAUGUCAACUAGUUGUUGGGGAUUCAUUUCCUUAGUAACGUAGCUAACGCGUGAAGUUGACCGCCUGGGGAGUACGGUCGCAAGAUUAAAACUCAAAUGAAUUGACGGGGUCAUAGCUGUUUCCU
rnacentral:rRNA from 1 species